GUGGGGGCGGAGGGGGAUGGGGUUGGGGUUACCUUGGACCAGUGUACACCUAUGCCAAGACCGACCAUUACGCCAAUUUCAAGUGGGGGGUGAGGCACCAUGUUGGGGGUCAAGGAUGGGGACGUUAAAGCUGCUGGGACAAAUUAACCUGCCGUUUUUUUAAGGACUCUUCUCCCUGUUGUUAUCCUAUUUUUAUUUAGCCAUCGUUUUCAAAUUGUGACACUUGUUAAGUUGUAUAAAUAAAAUAUAAAUAAUCGUUAAAACUCUGGA